GAUGAACGCUGGCGGCGUGCCUAAUACAUGCAAGUCGAGCGAACAGACGAGGAGCUUGCUCCUCUGACGUUAGCGGCGGACGGGUGAGUAACACGUGGAUAACCUACCUAUAAGACUGGGAUAACUUCGGGAAACCGGAGCUAAUACCGGAUAAUAUAUUGAACCUCAUGGUUCAAUAGUGAAAGACGGUUUUGCUGUCACUUAUAGAUGGAUCCGCGCCGCAUUAUCUAGUUGGUAAGGUAACGGCUUACCAAGGCAACGAUGCGUAGCCGACCUGAGAGGGGGAUAGGACAAACGGGAAGUGAGACACGGUAAAGACUACUACGGGAGGCAGCAGAAGGGAAUAUUACGCAAUGGGCGAAAGCAUGACGGAGCAACGCCGCGUGAGUGAUGAAGGUCUUAGGAUCGUAAAACUCUGUUAUUAGGGAAGAAAAAAUGUGUAAGUAACUAUGCACGUCUUGACGGUACCUAAUCAGAAAGCAACGGCUAACUACGUG
rnacentral:rRNA from 1 species